rnacentral:rRNA from 1 species
GCUGGCGGCGGCCUACACAUGCAAGUCGAGCGGUUGACGGGAGCUUGCUCCCUGAUUCAGCGGCGGACGGGUGAGUAAUGCCUAGGAAUCUGCCUAUUAGUGGGGGACAACGUUUCGAAAGGAACGCUAAUACCGCAUACGUCCUACGGGAGAAAGCAGGGGACCUUCGGGCCUUGCGCUAAUAGAUGAGCCUAGGUCGGAUUAGCUAGUUGGUGGGGUAAUGGCUCACCAAGGCGACGAUCCGUAACUGGUCUGAGAGGAUGAUCAGUCACACUGGAACUGAGACACGGUCCAGACUCCUACGGGAGGCAGCAGUGGGGAAUAUUGGACAAUGGGCGAAAGCCUGAUCCAGCCAUGCCGCGUGUGUGAAGAAGGUCUUCGGAUUGUAAAGCACUUUAAGUUGGGAGGAAGGGCAGUAAAUUAAUACUUUGCUGUUUUGACGUUACCGACAGAAUAAGCACCGGCUAACUCUGUGCCAGCAGCCGCGGUAAU